UACGGGGGGAGCAAGCGUUGUUCGGAUUUACUGGGCGUAAAGGGCGCGUAGGCGGUCGUGACAAGUCACUUGUGAAAUCUCCGGGCUUAACUCGGAACGGUCAAGUGAUACUGUCGGACUAGAGUACAGAAGGGGCAACUGGAAUUCUCGGUGUAGCGGUGAAAUGCGUAGAUAUCGAGAGGAACACCUGCGGCGAAGGCGGGUAGCUGGGCCGACACUGACGCUGAUGCGCGAAAGCGUGGGGAGCAAACAGG
rnacentral:rRNA from 1 species